AUUCAUUCUAAGGUAAACAUCGCUGUUUUUCCGUUUGUGUGUGUACUACGAACAAAAAAAGAAUUUGUGAAAUGUUCAUGCGCGCUUCCAUCGAAAUAAUGUAAGACAAAAAUUCAGUCUUUAACCUCUCCUGUCAGAAAAAUCAAUUUUUUUUUUUUCAAUUUUUUAUAGUCGUAAAAUUCAUUGAGACACAUGUGCUUGUACUGCCCUGCCUGCUUUACUUGCUUACGUUUAUAAUAUUUGAUCUUUUUCUCUUUUAUAAGCUUCGUAUUCAUCAUCUAACCAAAGCAAAGUAUGAUGCUUUACGAAUCACUUAUGAAUUUCUUAAUGCGAUGAAAAUGAUUGGUGAAAGAGGGAGAGAUGAGAGGAAAGGAUAUAAGCAUUGGAUCCUUCAAAAUAUGCAGUGUGUGCGCGCUUUUUAUGCAAGUUAAAGGAAAAAUGUUUGUAAAGCGUAAAAUUGUCAUCGGGUUUUACACCUGUUCCAAGGAUAUAUGAAAUUUCUCUUUCUCGUUUUUUUCUCUAUAUACUGAAAUAGCUCCAUUUUGUAGGUCCUACGAACAUGUACAUAUAUAUAUAUAUUAUAUAUACAUAUAUAUAUAUAUUUUUUUUAGAAAACGAAAUUCUUAAAAUGUGAAAACCAAAUAUAGGUUCAUAGCGAUUUAACUGCCAAACGAGCUGGCAAAUGGCGAAAAGGUUACAACAACAAUUCGCAGAAAAAGAGAUUAACAUGGAAACGUGGCAUUGAAAUUUGAUAUUGGCAAUUCGCUUGCAAAAGAGUAUGUAACCAAGCACCUGCUUAUACCUUACAUUAGUGGGCAUAUAAGAGUACAAGGAUGUAAUCAGUUUGUGUGGAUGUAAUGCGGCAACACCUAAAAGGAACUGAGAUGGAUUCAUCCUUUAUUAUACCGAUCGGCUCUGAAUCCGUCUAGCCGUCUUGUUUUCUUGCGUUUGACCUGUGAGUUGCAGUUCUUGAAAUAUUUUGAUGACAAUCGGUGCGCUGUGUGCGUGUGAUUGAAAAUAGUUUGGAUUGGACCACUUUCCCGGUCACCUUCCAUUUGGCCUCAUUUUGAGUAGUUGCUAUAUCAACAACUGUAAAGUAGUCUAAGGUAUUUCAUGACGUUUUGUCGUUAAAUCAAAUCUAUGUAGAGUUCUGUAUAGAAGCACACUUGCAGUGCAAAUUUUACACAUAGAAGGCGGUAAAAACGUCACUAAUGUUGCAAAAAUUUUUAAUUCGAUUUAAGUAAUUCGUGAAAGAUAUAUUCAUCUUUCCUCUGUUUUCUUUAGCUUUCAUGACAUCGAGCAAGUAACUUGAUAAGUAUGCUUGCGACCUUUUUAGCCGUUCCUUCAACGGCCUCGCUCGACAAUCCAAUAAACCCGAUCACUAAGGGAUUUUGAGAUGAUUUAGUUGCGUUGUCAUAUCUCCUAUUUAUCUCAAUUCCAUGUAUUUUGAUAUCUGUCAAGCAUUUUCAAUAAAAUUCAUUAAAAUAUCACAAAUUUUAGCAUUUUUAUAUGCCUUGAGUUUCUAUAUUGUUUUACCGAAAAAACAUAUAUUCGAUUACAAAUUUUUCAUUUUUAUUGAACUAUUUCGCCGGUUAAGUUAUGAUAUUUAGAAUAACGUGAGUUUUAUUUACAAAGUAUUAAGAGAUUCUAUUUACGAUAUUCUACAGGACAUCUCUUAAUCAUCUAUUCGAGUAUUACGGAUCAAUUCGUUUGCUCUCGGCUGAAUUUGCUUACCGCACACACUUUGAAUCCAUGCAAGCUUAUGAAUUUUCUUUUAUAAAAUAAUAAUAAAGAAAAAAAAAAAAGGGAAUUAUUUACAAUAAAAAAAUCAAUUAUAAACAUUAUUUAUAAUGACAAAACUUGAAAAAUUCAUUAUAGAUUUCUAUACCACUUCAUGUUGCUAUUUUUGUGCGUGCAAAUGUAUGUAUGUAUUCAUGAUAUCCUAUGUUUUGAACUUUUCCUACUCCAUUGUCUUAUUUCCAUAGCAAAACUAUUGUCUUGUCCUUAAGGAUACAAAUUGUUGAUCCCUUCCCUUUACCUUUUCCGUUCUCUUUCUCGUUUCCUUUGUCUCCGCUUUUAAUUUUUUCUUCCAUUACUUUUAGAAAAUUUGUCAUCUUAAGCCUUUCGUUGAGAAGAGCCAGACUUUUUACCCGAAAUAGCUGCGUUACUUAUCAACCAAAAACUCGUUGAUAAGAGAGAGCAACUGGUCUUUUAACCAACUCUAUCAACAACAUUUCAACGUCGUAACUUAUUUCAGUCCUAUAAAAACUGAAAACUGCAUGGCGUCGGGGAAUUUGCAUUUAGGGCUUGCAGCAGAGUAAGCACUGCCUGAAAUUGUCGGGAGUGGCUUGUGAGGCGAUAUUUCAGCAUCCUUCACCUUGCACGUUUGCACUCUUCGACGAGAAAGUGUACAAGUCAAACUAAACUGUUUAUAGCGCUUUGAUGCUCUACUGACUGGAUGUUCUUCUCACAUUUCCUUUAGUGCCGUUUUCUUGCAUUUAAAAUGGAUCAAUCAACUAUGAUCAGGAUUAUUUGGGAAUUAUACGAAGUACUAUCGAAAAAAUUACCGCAUCUAAAAAAAAAAAAAUGUGGGUUUUAUAAUAAUGAUAAGAUGUGAUACGUUCCUUAUUGCAUCCAUGCAAUAGACGGCAGACCCGUAAAUGUUGUUUGUUCCUGCAAAUUUGGAUCUCUUUCCAUUUCAUAAGAGUAAAGAUCCCUUUCUGCGAGAAUCUUCGAAUCAGAUUGUACUUCCAUAUCUUUAAAUAAUCGAGCUUAAGGCUUACACAGGAAGCGCGUACUGUGUGGAACUUGACGUUUGGAUAACGAUUUUCUAACAAGAAAUUAAGUAUUGCCCAUGUUUUGGGAUUCACAUAUUGUUUUGCUAAUCGUCGUCUUCAGAAUCUGCUUACCUCCAUUCAUCGAAGACCACCUUCAUUGAUUAACGUUAGCUUACAUUUGUGUAGGGGAUUUGAGUCGGCCUGCAUUAACCAUUGAUUACAAUCACAGGUCAAUAACUAGUGAGAUAGCGGAAUCUCGCUUAUUUGCUUAGCCAAAACUUCUUAUAGCUAAAGAAAAAAAAAAAAAAAAGAAAUACGAAAAAGUCUGUCUGUAUAACAUAAAGGGGGAUAUAUUGCUUUAUGCAAUUGAUGUGCUGUUCUUAUUGCAAACUCUCAGGUGUACGUUGACAAACUAACCCAAGCAAGAAAGCAAGAAAGUCUUGAGAGCAAAAGGUGCCAAAGGAAAAGAGGAGAAUUGAUUGCUUUGAACGAGGAUUAGCUAGUUGGACAGGAAGGAAGAAGAAGAUGAGUGAAGGAUUACUUACAGAGAAACAGCUAAGAAUAUUUAAUUUGCGUCGGCUUAAAAACGAAAAGUAGAAAGAAGUGCGAAACUUCUUUUUUUGGCUCGAAAAAUACAAAAAAAAAAAAAAAAAAAAAAAA